UGGGCGAGCGCUUCUACAAGUGCCGCUACCACAAUGUGAGGGGGGGUUUCUGUGUUUAUGGGAGAGUUUUCGGUUCGGGAUCCUUUUUUGUGAUUUGAUUUGUUUGUCAUCUCACCGUCGUUGCAUCUUUCCGUUGUUGAUCUUCCGCAGCCAUCAGCAGGGGGAUGUGAUUUCUACAGGUGGCAAGAAGCGUACGCCGAGCACCUCGCAUCAAAUCCACAGGCGCAGAUCCAGGCGGCGCAAGUUGGUCAAGGUGCGCAGGCGCCGGUCGGGGCGGAGGGGCACCAGAACGUGGCGCCGGGGGGAUCUCAGUUUGGCUCGUCGGCAAGCGAAGAGCUGUUUUUUGCUACUUGUAAAUGCCAUAUAUGUGGUAGAUAGGAGGUACCAGAUACAUUCAACACUUGUCAGACAACAAUUCUUGAACUAAAUUUUAUACUGCUUAAAUAUGAAAUAUAUGGACCAACUGAUUUGCUGAAUAUUGUAGAUGGAUGGUCCAGGAGAAAAUGUGAUUAGACUCUAAAAGGUGCGGUGAUUUCUUCUUUUUCUAGGAGAUGGACCAAAUGUGGUGGUUGGGACCUUGCAUGAUUCUCAAGGCUCUGUCCGAAACCAAUUUCCCAGGAAUACAGAUUGUAGUAGUCAUAUGCUUCUCCGAGAGAAUCAAAGCUGUCGCCGACAGCAGGAACUACAAUUCUCUUCUUCUCUGCGUAGCAUCUCAACGUUUUUUCAAGUGCGCUUAUUCUGUCCGCGCAUGGAGGACGCUCAAGAGGGGCUCGGCCAAUACGUACUCUGCAACACCCACACAUGGAGCAUCAGUAUGCUACCACCCUGUUUUGUGAACUUUUGAAAUUGCAAGCGUAAUUCGGUUUUUUCCGCCAGCAGCGUGAUACAUGCGCAGUCCUUUUUUUGCAAAAUGAUGUGAAUAUUGCUUUCCAUAAUAAGUCCCAAUAUCAAUACCAUUUUGCCCAGCCAGAGGCUUGGCUUUCGUCUUUGC
rnacentral:lncRNA from 1 species